GGGCCGGUGGUCUAGUUUGGUAAGACGCCGCGUUCACAUCGCGGUAAUCGCCUGUUCAAAUCCGGCCCGGCCCACCA
rnacentral:tRNA from 1 species